GACGAACGCUGGCGGCGUGCUUAACACAUGCAAGUCGAACGGAAAGGCCCUGCUUUUGUGGGGUGCUCGAGUGGCGAACGGGUGAGUAACACGUGAGUAACCUGCCCUUGACUUUGGGAUAACUUCAGGAAACUGGGGCUAAUACCGGAUAGGAGCUCCUGCUGCAUGGUGGGGGUUGGAAAGUUUCGGCGGUUGGGGAUGGACUCGCGGCUUAUCAGCUUGUUGGUGGGGUAGUGGCUUACCAAGGCUUUGACGGGUAGCCGGCCUGAGAGGGUGACCGGCCACAGUGGGACUGGGAUACGGGCCGGACGCCUACGGGAGGCAGCAGUGGAGGAUAUUGCACGAUGGGCGGAAGCAUGAUGCAGCAACGCCGCGUGCGGGAUGACGGCCUUCGGGUUGUAAACCGCUUUCGCCUGUGACGAAGCGUGAGUGACGGUAAUGGGUAAAGAAGCACCGGCUAACUACGUG
rnacentral:rRNA from 1 species